CUGGGCAAUCCCAACCACUCCCUGGGCAAUCCCAGCCAUUCCCUGGGCGAUCCCAGCCAUUCCCUGGGCGAUCCCAGCCAUUCCCAGCCCUCCCUGGCCAUUCCCAGCCAUUCCCAGCCUCGGGAAGGCGGGAGCUGGGCAGGAGUUGAUGUCCCCACCCUGCCGGGCCCCGCAGGUACCACAGCCUGUACCUGAAGGUGAAGGGCAACGUGUUCAAGAACAAGCGGAUCCUGAUGGAGCACAUCCACAAGCUGAAGGCGGACAAAGCCCGCAAGAAGCUCCUGGCGGACCAGGCGGAAGCGCGGCGCUCCAAGACCAAGGAGGCGCGGAAGCGGCGGGAGGAGCGGCUGCAGGCCAAGAAGGAGGAGAUCAUCAAAACCCUGUCCAAGGAGGAGGAGGCCAAGAAGUGACCACGGGCCGAGCCCUGCAGCGAGCGUUCCCCAGCCCCAGGCUCCCAAUAAAACAUCCCGGACUCUUCCCA